CCAAUAGCGUAUAUUAAAGUUGUUGCAGUUAAAAAGCUCGUAGUUGAAUUUCGGGAUCAAUAUGCUGGUCGUGCCAUUGGUACGUACUAGUAUUAUUGGUUUCUCCUUUCUGAUGAAUCAUGAUGUCAUUAAUUUGAUGUCAUGAGGAAUCAGGACUGUUACUUUGAAAAAAUUAGAGUGUUUAAAGCAGGCUCGCGCUUGAAUACAUUAGCAUGGAAUAAUGAAAUAGGAUGUUUGAUUCUAUUUUGUUGGUUUCUAGGGUUGACGUAAUGAUUAAUAGGGAUAGUUGGGGGCAUUAGUAUUCAAUUGUCAGAGGUGAAAUUCUUGGAUUUAUUGAAGACUAACUACUGCGAAAGCAUUUGCCAAGGAUGUUUUCAUUAAUCAAGAACGAAAGUUAGGGGAUCGAAGACGAUCAGAUACCGUCGUAGUCUUAACCAUAAACUAUGCCGACUAGGGAUCGGAUGAUGUUAAUUUUUUAAUGACUCAUUCGGCGCCUUACG
rnacentral:rRNA from 1 species